rnacentral:rRNA from 1 species
AGAGUUUUUCCUGGCUCAGAUUGAACGCUGGCGGCAGGCCUAACACAUGCAAGUCGAGCGGUAGAGAGGAGCUUGCUCCUCUUGAGAGCGGCGGACGGGUGAGUAAUGCCUAGGAAUCUGCCUGGUAGUGGGGGAUAACGUUCGGAAACGGACGCUAAUACCGCAUACGUCCUACGGGAGAAAGCAGGGGACCUUCGGGCCUUGCGCUAUCAGAUGAGCCUAGGUCGGAUUAGCUAGUUGGUGAGGUAAUGGCUCACCAAGGCGACGAUCCGUAACUGGUCUGAGAGGAUGAUCAGUCACACUGGAACUGAGACACGGUCCAGACUCCUACGGGAGGCAGCAGUGGGGAAUAUUGGACAAUGGGCGUAAGCCUGAUCCAGCCAUGCCGCGUGUGUGAAGAAGGUCUUCGGAUUGUAAAGCACUUUAAGUUGGGAGGAAGGGCAGUAAAUUAAUACUUUGCUGUUUUGACGUUACCGACAGAAUAAGCACCGGCUAACUCUGUGCCAGCAGCCGCGGUAAUACAGAGGGUGCAAGCGUUAAUCGGAAUUACUGGGCGUAAAGCGCGCGUAGGUGGUUUGUUAAGUUGGAUGUGAAAUCCCCGGGCUCAACCUGGGAACUGCAUUCAAAACUGACUGACUAGAGUAUGGUAGAGGGUGGUGGAAUUUCCUGUGUAGCGGUGAAAUGCGUAGAUAUAGGAAGGAACACCAGUGGCGAAGGCGACCACCUGGACUAAUACUGACACUGAGGUGCGAAAGCGUGGGGAGCAAACAGGAUUAGAUACCCUGGUAGUCCACGCCGUAAA